CCAUACUUCCAUUACUUCUGUUUUUCUUCUGCUACAACUUUCUUGAAUCCUAAAGAAACUACAUAUUUUGUCACCUCUUUUGUUUUGAAAUUUGUUGGAAGAAAGUUGACUAAGAUUGUUUGAAGAAUGAGGAAUCCUAGUUCACUCAAGCAAGAAUUUCUCAAGAAAUGGAUAAAGGGUCUACAAAUAUGCAGUGCAACAAAGGAAAAAAUGAGCAUAAUUGAGAGACAAAAAGCUAUAAAAUUAUCAGCAGAUAUAGCAAUGGCUUCUACAAGAAAAUCUUCUACUUAUUGGAGUCAUUCCCUUUUGGCCAAUGCUUCAAAAGAUGACACUAACAAAAUAAUCAUAAACCAUAUUCUUGGAAAUGAUGAUAUUUCUAAGAGAGUGAUAUUCAAGAAAUCUUCAAUGGGAUUAUUGGCUAUGUCCCAAAAGAGCAUUAGAUGCAAGAAAAUUGUGACCAAAAGUUGCAAGAUUUCAAGACAACGGCAGCUAAACUUCAGUCCCAAACAAGUUGAGGUCGACUGCACGAUUUCUAAAAAAGGUAGAAAAAUGAUCUCUCCAAUUUCUAUAGCAAGAAAAUUGGUGAAGAAUAGAACUAAAGUUCUUAAAAGUCUUGUUCCUGGUGGAGAAUAUAUGGAUAAUGUUUCUUUAAUUAAAGAAACCCUAGAUUAUAUCCUUUCACUUAGGGUUCAAGUUGAUGUUAUGAGGCAUCUUGCUAAUGCUAGUGAGAUUACUAAUCCUAAAACAUCUUUAUAGCUUUUUUUUCUUUUGUUUUUCAAUAUUUUUAAAUAUUGAAGUAAACAAUUCCUUCUUUUUCCCCCUUUGUUUUUACUCAUGUGGAGUUUUUUUUCCUUAUAGUACGACGAAGAAGAAUUUAAAUUACCGAAGUAUAGUAUGUAACAAUGUACAGAAGAGCAAUAUUAUAGUGAAGUUAAUUUUCCUA